GGCCAGCCCAGUUCAGGGUCCCAUGACUCACACGUUUUUCGCGCCAAGUUUCCGCUCCGGGGAAGCUGCACCACAGGCGGACUCGUUCAGGUUCUCCACCCACCUCGCUCCGCAUCGGCGACCCCGCAGGACCCUGCUCCGCCCAGACUAGAAACACGCAAAGUGACCUUACCGGGAGCGGUGCCCGAGAGUGUUUCCUCCGGUCUUCUGCUAGAGCUCCUCGUUGGCUCAGCCCAAGAGGAAUCCAGAGCAAGGGAACCCACUGCUUCGGGACUUCCCUGGUGGCGCAGUGGUUAAGAAUCCGCCUGCCAAUGCAGAGGACACAGGUUCGAUCCCUGGCCCAGGAAGAUCCUGCAUGCCGUGAGGCAACUAAGCCCGUGCGCCACAACUACCAAGCCUGCACUCUAGAGCCCGCGAGCCACAACUACUGAAGCCCGUGCGCUUACAGCCCAUGCUCGGCAACAAGAGAAGCCACCACAAUGAGAAGCACGUGCGCUGUAACUAGAGAAAGCCUGCAUGCAGCAACGAAGCCAAAAAAAAAAAUCAACUUUGAGAUGCAGAACCUGAUACACAGAAGAUUAAGUAACUUGUCCAAGGUCACACAGCAAGCGAGACAGUAAGACUCCAGACCUCCAGUGGCUUACCACUGUCAAACUGAACAUCUUUAAGGCUUCAAGUUGUAUAAAUGGGUCUCUAUUUUCAAUUUUUCCAUACCACCUGCGUGAUAAUGGUCUGAGGUACUUAUUACAAAUGAAGAUUCCUGGCUCUCAGUCCAGGUUUACUGAAUUAGAAUUUCUGGAAGUAGAACUCAGGAGGCUACACCUUAACAGACAUCCCAGGGUGAUGAGCAGGCAGUCAUUUUUAAGUAAUGAUGAGAGCCACCAUUUUUAAGUACAUGAUUGACCCCUUAUUCCUAUGCUCCAAGCAUACCUAUUUACUAUAACCAGAAAGCAUCCUGCUUUCUCCAUCUUCUCUGUGUCUUUGUUCAUAUUACCAGCUCCCUAUGGAAUGUCCAUUUUAUUUAUCCUUCAAAACCUUCUCAAAUCUCACCUUCACCUGGCCUCUCCUGAAUGGGCCUUUCUCUUGAUCUGCCAUUGAACUUUAAGACUCCAGUACAAUAUUUCUCUCAGGUUAUCUAAAGAAGUGGAAUAUUUAAUUGAUAGAUAGAAAGGAGAGUUUCCUUUUUACCUCCUAAAAAGCCUUAUUAAUAUGGUGCCUUGCCUGGAGUAGAUGUAAAUUUUUUUUAAGUUUGUUGAAUUGAAUUACAGAUUCUUUUCCCCAUCAAUGUUUAGGGCUUGACCCAAAAGAUAAA